rfam:Kingella kingae ATCC 23330 genomic scaffold SCAFFOLD5, whole genome shotgun sequence.
UCUGUUUAGUCGGGGUGCUGCUUGCGUGGCUGAGAAAUACCCGUGAACCUGAUUCAGUUAAUACUGGCGUAGGAAACUAAAUGCAAACGCAA